rnacentral:lncRNA from 1 species
GACUGCGGCGGCGUCGCCCGUCAGGCUCAGGCUCUCGCCACUGAGCUCGGCCACCACCCGCACCCAGCGCUCCCUUAGAAGCAGCUCCACCAGCCCCGCUUUGGUGGCCCGCGUCCACACCGCCAUGGCCGGCCCUGCUCCCGCAGCCGCCGUUGCUGCAGCUCCCCCGAUUCCAGUCAGGCAGCCUCGGCGCUUCCCCCUUCCCGCCCGAGGGGGGCGGACCCCUCCCCUCCCCCCGGCGAUUCAUUAUUCAUGAGGGCCACGCCCACUUUCCGGAGGGGCGGGGGGAAGGCCGGCGAGGCCGCUUCCGGGAGGCGAGGUUGUCCUGGUUCACUGAAAGCUCUUCGGAGGUGGGCAGCGCCUCGUGCAGCGAGGCACCCCGCCGUCCUUUGCUUUGGUUCUCCGUGACCUCCUCGAACUCCUCACCUCUUCUACGAGAGCUGCCCGGGCAGGGAGAGCAAAGUCAGCUUGUAGAGAGGCUCUUUGCGAUCCUGCAGGGCCGGGUUGGCGCGUUCAUUCUUGCAUUGAUUGGUUCAUUGCAAAAAAAAAAAAAAAAAAAAAAAAAAGCAGCCCUGAGCGCUCAGAGGUGUGCUGGGCUCCUUUUAAGGCCCUAGAGACACACUGAAUAAAAUGCACCUCAGCCGAGAGAGCUUGUGGUCUAAUGGG